rnacentral:rRNA from 1 species
GCGAUACCUAGUGUGAAUUGCAGAAUUCCGUGAAUCAUCGAGUUUUUGAACGCAAGUUGCGCCCGAGGCUCGUCUGAGGGCAUGCCUGCCUGAGCGUCCGC